UACAGAGGUCCCAAGCGUUGCUCGGAAUCACUGGGCGUAAAGGGCGCGUAGGCGGCGUUUUAAGUCGGGGGUGAAAGCCUGUGGCUCAACCACAGAAUGGCCUUCGAUACUGGGACGCUUGAGUAUGGUAGAGGUUGGUGGAACUGCGAGUGUAGAGGUGAAAUUCGUAGAUAUUCGCAAGAACACCGGUGGCGAAGGCGGCCAACUGGACCAUUACUGACGCUGAGGCGCGAAAGCGUGGGGAGCAAACAGG
rnacentral:rRNA from 1 species